GAUGAACGCUGGCGGCGUGCCUAAUACAUGCAAGUCGAGCGAACGGACGAGAAGCUUGCUUCUCUGAUGUUAGCGGCGGACGGGUGAGCAACACGUGGAUAACCUACCUAUAAGACUGGGAUAACUUCGGGAAACCGGAGCUAAUACCGGAUAAUAUUUUGAACCGCAUGGUUCAAAAGUGAAAGACGGUCUUGCUGUCACUUAUAGAUGGAUCCGCGCUGCAUUAGCUAGUUGGUAAGGUAACGGCUUACCAAGGCAACGAUGCAUAGCCGACCUGAGAGGGUGAUCGGCCACACUGGAACUGAGACACGGUCCAGACUCCUACGGGAGGCAGCAGUAGGGAAUCUUCCGCAAUGGGCGAAAGCCUGACGGAGCAACGCCGCGUGAGUAAUGAAGGUCUUCGGAUCGUAAAACUCUGUUAUUAGGGAAGAACAUAUGUGUAAGUAACUGUGCACAUCUUGACGGUACCUAAUCAGAAAGCCACGGCUAACUACGUGCCAGCAGCCGCGGUAAUACGUAGGUGGCAAGCGUUAUCCGGAAUUAUUGGGCGUAAAGCGCGCGUAGGCGGUUUUUUAAGUCUGAUGUGAAAGCCCACGGCUCAACCGUGGAGGGUCAUUGGAAACUGGAAAACUUGAGUGCAGAAGAGGAAAGUGGAAUUCCAUGUGUAGCGGUGAAAUGCGCAGAGAUAUGGAGGAACACCAGUGGCGAAGGCGACUUUCUGGUCUGUAACUGACGCUGAUGUGCGAAAGCGUGGGGAUCAAACAGGAUUAGAUACCCUGGUAGUCCACGCCGUAAACGAUGAGUGCUAAGUGUCAGGGGGUUUCCGCCCCUUAGUGCUGCAGCUAACGCAUUAAGCACUCCGCCUGGGGAGUACGACCGCAAGGUUGAAACUCAAAGGAAUUGACGGGGACCCGCACAAGCGGUGGAGCAUGUGGUUUAAUUCGAAGCAACGCGAAGAACCUUACCAAAUCUUGACAUCCUUUGACAACUCUAGAGAUAGAGCUUUCCCCUUCGGGGGACAAAGUGACAGGUGGUGCAUGGUUGUCGUCAGCUCGUGUCGUGAGAUGUUGGGUUAAGUCCCGCAACGAGCGCAACCCUUAAGCUUAGUUGCCAUCAUUAAGUUGGGCACUCUAAGUUGACUGCCGGUGACAAACCGGAGGAAGGUGGGGAUGACGUCAAAUCAUCAUGCCCCUUAUGAUUUGGGCUACACACGUGCUACAAUGGACAAUACAAAGGGCAGCGAAACCGCGAGGUCAAGCAAAUCCCAUAAAGUUGUUCUCAGUUCGGAUUGUAGUCUGCAACUCGACUACAUGAAGCUGGAAUCGCUAGUAAUCGUAGAUCAGCAUGCUACGGUGAAUACGUUCCCGGGUCU
rnacentral:rRNA from 1 species